UGGGGAAUAUUGGACAAUGGGCGAAAGCCUGAUCCAGCCAUGCCGCGUGAGUGACGAAGGCCUUAGGGUUGUAAAACUCUUUCGUCGGGGACGAUAAUGACGGUACCCGAAGAAGAAGCUCCGGCUAACUUCGUGCCAGCAGCCGCGGUAAUACGAAGGGAGCUAGCGUUGUUCGGAAUCACUGGGCGUAAAGCGCACGUAGGCGGAUAGUUAAGUCAGGGGUGAAAUCCUGGGGCUCAACCCCAGAACUGCCUUUGAUACUGGCUGUCUCGAGGUCGAGAGAGGUUGGUGGAAUUCCUAGUGUAGAGGUGAAAUUCGUAGAUAUUAGGAAGAACACCAGUGGCGAAGGCGGCCAACUGGCUCGAUACUGACGCUGAGGUGCGAAAGCGUGGGGAGCAAACGGGAUUAGAUACCCUUGUAGUCCCUGAGCGGGCUGGCAAGGCGCAU
rnacentral:rRNA from 1 species